AAACUCAAAUGAAUUGACGGGGACCCGCACAAGCGGUGGAGCAUGUGGUUUAAUUCGACGCAACGCGAAGAACCUUACCUAGGCUUGACAUGCUGGCGAAAACCGUGGAAACACGGUCCUCCCGCAAGGGACGCUAGUACAGGUGGUGCAUGGCUGUCGUCAGCUCGUGUCGUGAGAUGUUGGGUUAAGUCCCGCAACGAGCGCAACCCUUACCCUUAGUUGUUUUCCCGAAAGGAUUACCCUCUAAGGGGACUGCCCCGGACAACGGGGAGGAAGGUGGGGAUGACGUCAAGUCCGCAUGCUCCUUACGUCUAGGGCUACACACGUCCUACAAUGGGGUCGACAGUGGGAUGCAAAGCCGCGAGGUGGAGCCAAUCCCCAAACGGCCUCUCAGUUCGGAUAGUAGUCUGCAACUCGACUCCACGAAGUUGGAAUCGCUAGUAAUCGCGGAUCAGCACGCCGCGGUGAAUACGUUCCCGGGCCUU
rnacentral:rRNA from 1 species